AAUAUUGGGCAAUGGAGGCAACUCUGACCCAGCCAUGCCGCGUGAAGGAUGAAGGCGCUAAGCGUUUAAAACUGCUUUUCCUGGUGAAGAAAAAUUGUCCUCCGGGAUAAAUUGACGGUAUACAGAGAAUAAGCACCCGCUCACUACGUGCCAGCAGCCGCGGUAAUACGUAGAUGGCAAGCGUUGUCCGGAAUUAUUAGGCGUAAACGGAUCGCGGGCGAAUCCUCAAGGCUGAUUCGAAAGU
rnacentral:rRNA from 1 species